CUAUGGUGAAUUUUUAGCCGAACAGUGGCGCAAAUCCACCGAACCAAGGCUCGGAGGCAGAAGUGGGCGUUGCGGUGCUGCUCCUCCAAACAUGGCGGCCGGGUGCAGGGGUGAAAGACGUUGUGGAACUGGUGCCAUGGAGCCUGGUAGUGAAUGGACAACUUACUCUCCUUCUCGAGAUGCUGCAGCCGUGUUGGAGGGGAUGGCACGAGACACGCCAUCGCCCCGUGUUAUUUUUAACCGUGUGUCUCCAUGGAAACGGGAGGCAGAGGGUGGAGGGGUGAUGGGGUCUCCUGCUGUGAGCCGCGAGGAGGGCGACGCUGGUCACUGUGAG